rnacentral:rRNA from 1 species
UGCCAGCCGCCGCGGUAAUACGUAGGGUGCAAGCGUUGUCCGGAUUUAUUGGGUUUAAAGGGUGCGCAGGCGGUCUGAUAAGUUAGUGGUGAAAUCGUCCCGCUCAACGGGAUACCCGCCAUUGAUACUGUCGGACUUGAGUGUGUGUAAGGGAGUUGGAAUGCGUGGUGUAGCGGUGAAAUGCAUAGAUAUCACGCAGAACGCCGAUUGCGAAGGCAGACUUCUGGCACACAACUGACGCUGAGGCACGAAAGCGUGGGGAGCGAACAGGAUUAGAUA